GGCCUCUCUCCCAUGGGGCUGUGGGGAGGUCUCUUUUCUUUUCAGCCAGGGCUGGGGGCCAAGAUCAGCCCUUAUGGAUCGUCAUAGGAACUGCCACAAGCUUAGCAGCCUGGUUUUCCUACCUUGGACAUUU